UGGAAGACUUGUGAUUGUGUUGUUGUAUCGCUAAAGCAGGCAACAAAUCACAGUGUUCCGCA
rnacentral:pre_miRNA from 1 species